UGACAAGAGCGAGCCCCUCGCACAGGUAGUACCGGUAGGCCCACCAGUUGUGGUACCGCAGGUUCUCCCACAGGUAAUCGAGGAUGAGCUUCUUCUUGGUCUUCUUUUCGAUCUCGGUGCAGACGCCGACGUCGAGAUCCAUCAUGAGAGCCCGGAUCUUGCCUCCCUCCCAGGACUUCCACAGCCAGCGCGGGGCGUAGAACAGCAUGGCCUG